rnacentral:lncRNA from 1 species
GAGUUGUAAUGUGUAAAAUAGUUGAAAUUAUGAGUUGUUAUAGUUAUGAAAACGGUUCAUCUAGACUCAAGGAGUAAAGAAAUGUGAUAAAAAUUAUUUUACGAGCAUUGGGGCAAAAGUGCAAAUAUGCAAAGGUCUAGGGGUUAAAAUGAAAAUUUGUAAAAAUAUGAUUUUUAGACUCAUAUGAAUAUUGUGACUGAUUGGUAGGCUAAAUGUGAUAUUAUAGAUCAAGG